UAGUAUACAAGAAAGUCGGUCACAGACCGUUCGAGUGUGCGCUCCUGGUUAUGAUAUCAAAAUUCGGCUUAACUCUCCACACGUGAAAAAUGCAUGCAUGAUGUAAAGUACUGUUUAAUAAACGAGCAUGAGUGUUUUAUUAGACCUAACAAGACGCCUGCUCAGGCGUUCACACUGGCCUGAAAAUGGCAACUUUCGUGGAGGGUGUAAUGUGUAGUAGAGAAGUAAAUAGGGAUACAGGGGGUCUGGACCAUAUAAAUACAACCAAUAAAUACAAUCAUGAUUAGCAACUAUCAACCAUAAUAUACCAAGACGCCGGCUCAGGCGUACCCUCUGCCGCUCUGGCUACGGACAAUUCAACCUGACAAGCCAGGUCCACUGUAACUAUGAUCAUCAACUAUCAACCAUAAAUAAUGAUGGGUCAUUGUCCUUGAUUUUUAAUGCCAUUAUAUGGCUCGUUUCAGGUGCUAAAAAGUUUAUAGACAUAGACGAUUCUUCCAAAAAAUUCGCCAAUUUGCUGCCAGUUAUAAGAUAAACUGAUCUCAAACCCUUCUCUAACCCCACUAUUCUUCCCUUGGGCCUGCACGCGGGCUAACCCCAACCAGUAUUAAACAUCUAAUAAACAAUUUGAGAAUUAAAAAGUUGGGGGGAAAGUUGGAUCUUGUUCCAAAAACAAAUCGAACCGUACCACGUUUCACUUCGCCGCACGCAAUGCCACCUCGCUGAAUCAGAAUACAAUCGAAAAAUACAUUCAUUUUUAUAGACUAUAGUAGGCUAAUAUAUGAAAUGGAAAAUAAUUUGGUGCAAAUUAAUGUAAUUACGUGCAAAUCUAUAAUUAUGCAAAUGAACACAAGUGCGCAACACAUGUUUAUGAGUCUACAACGUAUAUUUAUACUUGUUAAUUAAAAAGUCAAACUGUCAAACCUUUAACUUGUCCUUGUUUAUAUUCCACUAUAUUGUAUAAAUUCGCUCGG
rnacentral:lncRNA from 1 species